AAACUUUCAACAAUGGAUCUCUUGGUUCCCGCAUCGAUGAAGAACGCAGC
rnacentral:rRNA from 1 species